AACAAGGUUUCCGUAGGUGAACCUGCGGAAGGAUCAUUACUGAAUUGUCAACACGAGUUGUUGCUGGUCCUCAAAUGGGGGCAUGUGCACACUCUGUUUACACAUUCCUACUCACACCCCUGUGCACCCUCCGUAGAUUCUGUGGCUUGGGGACUUUGUCCUCCUGCUGUGGUUCUGCAUCUUUACGACACCACUCUGUAAUAAAGUCUCAUGGAAUGUAUGCCGCGUUUAACGCAAUUACAAUACAACUUUCAGCAACGGAUCUCUUGGCUCUCGCAUCGAUGAAGGAACGCAGACGAAAUGCGAUAAGUAAUGUGAAUUGCAGAAUUCACGUGAAUCAUCCGAAUCUUUGAAACGCACCUUGCGCCCUUUGGUCUAUUCCGAAGGGCAAUGCCUGUUUGAGUAUCAUGAACACCUCAACUCUUCAUGGUUUUCCAUGAUGAGCUUGGACUUUGGGGGUCUUGACUGGCCUGUGGUCGGCUCCUCUCAAACGGAUCAGCCUUUCCAGUGUUUGGUGGCAUUCCCAGGUGUGAUAACUAUCUACGCUUGUGGUUUUCCACCAGGUAACCCUCAGUGAUGGGGGUUCGCUGGGGCUCAUAAAUGUCUCUCCUCANGUGAAGACAGCUUUGUGAACAUUCUGAUCUCAAGAUCAGGCAGGACUCACCCGCUGAACUUAAAGCAUAUCAACUAAGUCGGAGGAAAAGAGAACUAACAGAGGAUUCCACCUAGUAACUGCGAGUGAAGCGGGAAGAGCUCAAGAUUUGAAAUCUGGCGUGCCUCUGGUCGUCCGAGUUGUAGUCUGGAGAAGCGUCAUCCGUGCUGGACCGUGUGACGUCA
rnacentral:rRNA from 1 species